UGUUAAAACCCUCGAGUCAGGGCCGGGUUCAAUUAUUCUAUACAAAGUCAAAUUCCGAUCCGUUGAAAAUGGUUUAAAAUGAGGAUCGGUUUGAGUUAAGAUCGAAGUCUCAUCAGAUAUUGUAGAGAUACUUGAGAAUAAACGCUGCAUAGAACUCUGUCUUCAUUAGUUCAGUUUCUGUUAUAUUCUUCUCUACACGAUGACUUCAAGGUCUGCUGGAGAACUGUAAGAUACUUGGCUUGAAUACUAGAGAACUCCCAAACUCCGGAUCUGAUCUUGUGAGAACCUGCAACGGUCAUGUGAAACCACGCUCCAUAUCCAAUCCAACCGGAGCAGGAUCAAGACUCACAGGUUCAUGUGCAUGUGAAACCAC